rnacentral:lncRNA from 1 species
AACUUCAAGUAGGCCCGAGCCACCUUAACUAAUACAAUAACCUGUCAUAUUCAUUCUUAUAAUUCUUAUAAUAAUAGGAAGGCAUUUGACUUUUAUCAGUCCAUAAGUAUAUUAUUAUUUGUUUACUAUGGAUUAUUGAGUUUUUUGUUAAUUGUUUCUACAAUAAUGAUAGUAAGAUGUUUUGCAUUCUAAAUGUGGUCCUUUAUAAAAACACAAACUAGUUCCUAGUUAUAGUAUCUGACCAUUAAGUGUUUUGGUUAUUUUGGCAGCUGGCCAGUUUAGUCUGAAUUUUACUGAAUGGCUGGUAUUGUAUUGUUACCGUUGAAAUUUGACCAAAGUUUUAUUUUUAAAA